rnacentral:lncRNA from 1 species
AAAUAAGUGCAUGCAAAUACAUCUGGAAGCAUUUCUGACUUGCCAAGUGCUCUGAAAGGGCAGCAGAUGCUCUUUCUUUUCAGGGUCAAGGUAAGCAUAUUCAAAGGGACUGAGGACCAUAAUAGAAGCGCACGGGCACAUACACACAUACAAAGUCACGCAUGAGUCACUUAAUGACAGGGACGCAUUCUGAGAAAUGCGUUGUCAGGAAAUUUCAUCACUGUACAAACAUCAUAGUGUGUACUUACACGAAGCCAGAUGGUAUAGCCUAUUACACACCUAGGUUACAUGGUA